rnacentral:tRNA from 2 species
GGUUGUGUGGCCGAGCGGUCUAAGGCGCCUGAUUCAAGAUAUGAAAAUUUCUUAACCAGUUAAAACUGGGAAUCCUCAGGUAUCGUAAGAUGCAAGAGUUCGAAUCUCUUCGCAACCA